UCAUACUUGGAACCAAAUUUCCCACCGCCUCAAUUGUUCUAUAUAAAAUGGAGACCCUUCUCAGAUUAUGAACAUCAAUUCGCCUUAUUAGUACGCUGACCCAACAUUAUUGUUCACAGGUAAUUUAAUCUUCCUUCUAUUUCUUUCUUUCUCUUUUUUUGUUGUCUUUUUCUCUCUCUCUAUUUCUUAUAGGUUGAAACAAAUAACCAUGUGCAAUACUUCGUUUAAGGUGCGAAAGUUUAACUUUGCCUCCAUCACCUUAAGAUCGAACAAUUUUUCUUGAAGAUGAUGGAUAUCGGCUUAAGGUAUGAGAGUUUAACUUCACCUCCAUCACCUUAAGUCUGAACAAUUUUUCUUGAAGAUAGUGGACAUUGGCUUAAGGUGCGAGAUUUUAAUUUCGCCUCCAUUAUCUUCAGUUCGAACAAUUUUGCUUGAAGACGGUUGACAUCGGCUUAAGGUGCGAGAGUUUAACUUCGCCUCCAUCACCUUAAGUAUGGAUAAUUUUGCUUGAAGACGAUGGAAAUUAGCUUAAGGUAUGAGAGUUUAACUUCGCCUCUUUGACCUUAAGUCCAAACAAUUAUUCUUAAAGAUGAUGGGUAUCAACUUAAGGUACGAAAGUUUAACUUCGCUUUCGUCACCUUAAGUCCGAACAAUUUUUCUAGAAGAUGGUGGUCAUCGGCUUAAGGUGCGAGAUGUUAACUUCACCUCCAUCACCUUAAGAUUCAGUCAAGGUUUCUUAAAGAUGCAAUGUUUUUUUUAAGUAUGAUCCCUUUCACCGAUGCAUUUAUGCAAUGGUCUUCUCUAAGUAUGGGCCCUUUCACUGAUGGAUUUAUUCGAUGGUCUUCUCUAAGUAUGGGCCCUUUACAAUGGUCAGCUUAAGGUGUGAGAGUUUAACUUUGCCUUUGAUACCUUAAGACUUAACGAGUUUGGGUUCAAGUAUACAUGACUAUAUUUACCAAAGCCAAAACAUGGAGGACCUUUUUAUUCUUUGGCCUUUUUGCAGGUAUUUUUUGAAUCUUGACUUUAUGUUUGACCAAAAUUCUUUUGUAUAUGCAACUUGCAGAGAUGGUUCACUUUAGACACUACACAUCAUCAUCCUCUAAAGGCAAGCAUCUCCUAAUUGAGGCCGAUGAUGGUAUGAUUUUAACUAGGCUAUUGACUGAAACUCCAAUAGUAGGAAGGUAUGCAAAUCUGUGUCCACCCUUGUAAAAUUCUAUCCAUAUGUUAGAUUGGACUUUAAAAUAUGACAUUGGUGUUAAUCGAUCGGUUAAAGUAUGACUUCUUUGGACUCCCAACCAACGUCAAUUGAAUAAUGCAAGCACCCGUCCUUGCUUAGGACGUCGGGUACUCAAAGGAGAAGUAUAUUAGGGUGGCACUAUAGAGAUAACUAGUAAAUAUCAUCACACUCAAGGAUAUUGGUAAUGGUAUGAUGACAUAUUAGAUGGAAAUGCUCAAACCUUGAAGGCAUAAAAAAUAUAUGAUGCUGAUUUUUCUUUACUUUUUACCUAUAAUUGAAAAUCGAACAUAUUACAGACAUUCUUUGAGGCUUGGUGUCCAAAUACCAACACAUUACUUACUGCAGUUGGAGAGCUAUCCGUAUCCCUUUAGGAUAUACAAAAUUAGAGGUCUGCCUAUCGGAGGCGUUCCUUAUAAAGAAGCAGUGCCCAAACCAAAGGAGCUUACAGGUAUUGAUAAAAAGAGUGAGAGAGUUAUCCCUCGUUCUUGUGAAUUAUUGUUUGUAGCUUUCCAACAUCUUCAAGAAGGAGAGGCUUCUAAUCCCAGAGUUACUCUAAGCAAAUGGAUAAAAUUUUGGUGUAAAAGGGUAUUAAGAUAUAAGUUAGCUCCACCGAGGAAGGAGAAAAAAUCUGCUCGUUUGAAGUCAACCCAUAAUCUAACUGGGACUAUUCUGAAAGAAACAAAGUGGUAAAGUGCAAAUGAUGCCACAUUUUCUAAACUUGGAGUGAAGUAUGAACAUAGGACCGAUAUAUAUUUGGCAGCUUUCCUAUCAUGUUUGUUGUGCUUUUUUGUAUUUCCCUCUAAGGAUGGAUAUUUCAUUCGUCCGAGAACUUUUAGAAUUGCAACUGUAAUGGCAGAUACGCAAAUUUUCAGUCUUGCAGUUCCAGUCCUACCGAUCAUUUAUAAUGGUCUAAACAAAAUCUAUAAAUCUUUGUAGCUUGAGCAGCUCAGAGUAUCCUUUCCUAUCUAUUAUGUAUAUGGUUGGCUUGCUUACUAUUUUAAGACACAUUUUUCACUUUCUAAUGGACCAUUUAUUCCAUUGAUGAUGUUAUAUUCAGAAAAGGUGGGGCAAGGUACUUUGAUAGAGAUCUUGCCAUAAAGCGCAUCCAUCAAGGAGACAGUGUUAUUUGGGUUUGUCCUAUGCCAAGAAAGUCCACUCCUUGUCAUUUUGGGGAUGAAGAUAAGGAUUAAGAGUCAGAGAUAAGCUACUUCAUGAGCCUCCAUUUUAACUUCCUCCCUUUCAGAUAUAGAGGUUCAUUCAUACUUGAGCCAUACAGUCUACAUUGGUUUAGCUUUCAGUUUUGGUUUUAUCAAGGCCUUCAUAGAAUCUUGAAAGAUGAUAUUCGCAGUGCUUCACCCGAUGAAGGCCUUAAAUUUCAUUGGAUUUAUGUAUUGGAUGGUUCUAUGUUGAAAUAAAAUUUUCCUAAAUCCACAUCCAAUGUGCGAAGAUAUUCAUCCACGUCGUAUAAAUCUUGGUGGGACAAAAUUUAUGGAAACUUUCAUGAAGUUAACUUGUAAUCUUUGGUGAACACCAUAGGUCCUAUUGUCAAAACUCCUCAAGAAUAUGGUGAGAAGGUCCUAAUUGUGGUUAAGCCUCCUAUUUUAAAAUCUAAGGUAGUCAUUCCAUACAAAGUCAAGGGACCUUCACAUGCAGAAACUCAGAGCGAUAGUAGUCAUGGUGAUCAUUGUUGGAAGAAGGUAAAGCCAUCCUUGGCAAAGCAACGUGAUUCUAACUCCCAUGUGUAGAUUCUUGCUAGUUUAUCUAAGACUCCGCCAGCCAUCGAGAAGACAAUGUCCAAGUUUUGGAAGAUCCUCACCAAAGUAAGCCACAAGAUAGCAGCGAGUUUGUAGUAGGUCCAGACUCAAGAAAGUUUCUUUUGUCAUCCAAAGAGGUCACUUCUAACCCUUGCGGUAAAGUCAAAGCAAAUGUAAAGUCAAACUUUUCCCGACAGCUAGCGGUAGCCAUGUUUAUUUUUUAUGGCAAGAAGGUUAUUCCAGAGCUUAAAAAGAAUUUAUCAUGAAGGCUUGGAUUAGUAUCCGUACCAAACUUGCAGGCCUUACUCCAAAUCAUGUUUUUUUUUUAAUCUAAGAUAACGUCAAAGUCAUACUCAAUGACAUGAGUAGAAUGGGGAAAGAUAUUCCCCAUGCAGAAUUUAUUGGGGUCUUUCUUUGGGCUUUCAACUUCCUAUGACCAAGUACAAUCCACCCUUAUUGAUAAAACCAUAAUAAUUAAAGAUUCAAAGACAUAUUUGAAAGCCAAAGAGCAUCUUGAGCUUGUAUUAUGGGACAUGAAUGAGAAAUCUGAAGAAGUUUCUGCUGCCUGCAAAUCUCUUAAGAAGGCGAGAAAGAAGGUGAAAAAUUUUAAACCUCUUCGAGAUACUACCAAACAAGAAGCUGUAGAGAUGAAAUCCAAAGUUUCAACUAUUGAAGAUGAGUUUUACAAGUGUUAUGAUAUCUCUCUUGCAACAGUAAAUGCUUCAAAUGUCGUGGAGAAGUGGAAGCAAGUCUUAGAGACUGCUUUAAAAGAUUUAGUCAAUUAUAAGCUAUACUUAGAUUAGCCUUAGGAGAUGUCUUCCUUCGAACCUUCUUGUUGCUUUCUUUUACCCUUUUAUUCAGUAGCUGGAUCUAUUAAUUGUAAUAAAAAACCUCUUUUUA